ACUCAGCCACUCCCCCUCGUCACGUGACCGCCGCGGUCCAAUUAGUGGUGCUUAUAAGCCGGUAGCAGGAAGUAUCCAGGAGACAGGAGGUGAGGAGAUCGGUUGUAUUUCUGCUGAGAGAACUGCUUCACCACAGCAAAGUCUGGUGACAUUCAGCACAGCACGCAACUUGGAACCUGGUGUCGGAGCGUGACUCCGUCAAAAACCCUGGCAAGGGAGGCGGCUUGUGGUCCGAGUUUUGGGAGCAGCCACAGAUGGCCGGUGCCAAACCGCCAGUCCUCUUAAGUCCUGCACACAACUUUCUCUCUUGGCUUCAACUCCACUUUUUUGUUUUUUUUACAGCACAAGGAAGCCGGUGGUUCAUCCUGAUGAGAUCGUUAAAAGACCCUCUUUUCUUUUUAAGCUGAAGGCACUAUGAGGCCAAAUGAAGGCACUAUGAGGCCAAAUGAAGGCACUAUGAGGCCAAAUGAUUCUCUGCAUUUGACCCAUCACCCUUGAUCACCCCCUGGGAGGUGAGGGGAGCAGUGAGCAGCAGUGGUGGCCACGCCCGGGAAUCAUUUUUUGGUGAUUUAACCCCCAAUUCCAACCCUUGAUGCUGAGUGCCAAGCAGGGAGGGGUCACCAACACCAGGUCGCCCGUAAGGACCAGAUGAGUCGCCGGCAGGCCUGUUCUAAAAAUAGCUCAAAUAGCAGCACUUACCAGUGAGCUGCCUCUAUUUUUUAAAUUGUAUUUAUUUACUAGCAAGCUGGUCUCGCUUUGCUGGACAUUUUUAAUUCUAAGAGAGACAAAACUCAAAUAGAAUUUGAAAAUCCAGGAAAAUAUUUUAAAGACUUGGGCUUCACUUGUUUAAAUAAAUUAUUUUAUUUUUUUACUUUGCUUCUUAUAACUUUCAGAAAGACAAUUUUAGAGAAAAAAUACAGCCUUAAAAAUUAUUUUAGGAUUUUUAAACACAUAUACCUUUUUACCUUUUAAAUUCCUUCCUCUUCU